rnacentral:rRNA from 1 species
GCGAACUGGUGAGUAACACGUGGGUAACCUGCCCCGAAGCGGGGGAUAACAUUUGGAAACAAGUGCUAAUACCGCAUAAUUAGUUGGAACCGCAUGGUUCCAACUUGAAAGAUGGCUCUGCUAUCACUUUGGGAUGGACCCGCGCCGUAUUAGUUAGUUGGUGAGAUAAAAGCCCACCAAGACGAUGAUACGUAGCCGACCUGAGAGGGUAAUCGGCCACAUUGGGACUGAGACACGGCCCAGACUCCUACGGGAGGCAGCAGUAGGGAAUCUUCCACAAUGGACGAAAGUCUGAUGGAGCAACGCCGCGUGAGUGAUGAAGGUUUUCGGAUCGUAAAACUCUGUUGUUAAAGAAGAACAAGUGUUAGAGUAACUGUUAACACUUUGACGGUAUUUAACCAGAAAGCCACGGCUAACUACGUGCCAGCAGCCGCGGUAAUACGUAGGUGGCAAGCGUUGUCCGGAUUUAUUGGGCGUAAAGCGAGCGCAGGCGGUUUUGUAAGUCUGCUGUGAAAGCCCUCAGCUCAACUGAGGAAGUGCAGUGGAAACUACAAAACUUGAGUACAGAAGAGGAAAGUGGAACUCCAUGUGUAGCGGUGAAAUGCGUAGAUAUAUGGAAGAACACCAGUGGCGAAGGCGGCUUUCUGGUCUGUUACUGACGCUGAGGCUCGAAAGCAUGGGUAGCGAACAGGAUUAGAUACCCUGGUAGUCCAUGCCGUAAACGAUGAAUACUAGGUGUUGGAGGGUUUCCGCCCUUCAGUGCCGCAGCUAACGCAUUAAGUAUUCCGCCUGGGGAGUACGACCGCAAGGUUGAAACUCAAAGGAAUUGACGGGGGCCCGCACAAGUGGUGGAGCAUGUGGUUUAAUUCGAUGCUACGCGAAGAACCUUACCAGCUCUUGACAUCUUCUGCCAACCCAAGAGAUUGGGCGUUCCCUUCGGGGACAGAAUGACAGGUGGUGCAUGGUUGUCGUCAGCUCGUGUCGUGAGAUGUUGGGUUAAGUCCCGCAACGAGCGCAACCCUUAUUAUUAGUUGCCAGCAUUUAGUUGGGCACUCUAGUGAGACUGCCGGUGAUAAACCGGAGGAAGGUGGGGACGACGUCAAAUCAUCAUGCCCCUUAUGAGCUGGGCUACACACGUGCUACAAUGGAUGGUACAACGAGUCGCGAAACCGCGAGGUCAAGCUAAUCUCUUAAAGCCAUUCUCAGUUCGGAUUGCAGGCUGCAACUCGCCUGCAUGAAGUUGGAAUCACUAGUAAUCGUGGAUCAGCAUGCCACGGUGAAUACGUUCCCGGGCCUUGUACACACCGCC